rnacentral:rRNA from 1 species
UAGUCAUAUGCUUGUCUUAAAGAUUAAGCCAUGCAUGUCUAAGUAUAAGCACUUGUACUGUGAAACUGCGAAUGGCUCAUUAUAUCAGUUAUAAUUUAUUUGAUGGUCAUUUACUUGGAUAACCGUGGUAAAUCUAGAGCUAAUACAUGCAUAAAAUCCUGACUGGGAACGGAAAGGAUGUAUUUAUUAGAUACAAAAACCAAUGCAUCAGGCCUUCGCGGGCUUGGUGGAAAACAUGGUGAUUCAUGAUAACUUUACGAAUCGUGUGGUCUCGUACCGACGAUAGUUCAUUCAAAUUUCUGCCCUAUCAACUUUCGAUGGUAGUAUAGAGGACUACCAUGGUGGUAACGGGUAACGGAGAAUCAGGGUUUGAUUCCGGAGAAGGAGCCUGAGAAACGGCUACUACUUCCAAGGAAGGCAGCAGGCGCGCAAAUUACCCAAUCCCGACACGGGGAGGUAGUGACAAAAAAUAACAAUACCGGUCUUUUAUAAGUCUGGUAAUUGGAAUGAGUACAAUCUAAACCCCUUAACGAGUAUCAAUUG